GGCCUGCUCACUCUUUUGCGGUAUUAAUUUAGCUACCAUUACUGUAUCUGUAAACACCUUUAUUGCAAAUAGGCUAUAGCAUAUAAGCAAGCUAGCAUACCAACAGCUUUAUUAUGUCACUUUAGGACGUUUUUGUGGACUACUAAAAACGUUUUUGGCUUCCCAAAUGCUGAAGGACACAAUCAUUUGAAAUUCUUGUUGGCCGUCCGUUGGUCACCUCUCCUUAGGGACAUCCUCUCAUGUUCCUCCUCCAUGUUGCAAUAUCACUUCACUAAGGUUGCUGCUGGGUUGUUGUUUUUUGAGGUGCUUUUUAUUCAGUCCUUCACAGCAGAGAGGAGAGAGUGACACAUGACAAAAGCUCCAGGCGAGGACAAAACCAAGGACACGGUUGUACGUAGGUGGAAUGAGAACCUGUCUGACAGGAGAUUUGUCAUGGAUGUUGACCAUGUACUGAUGCUCCAUCACUCCCAGGUCUCUGUGUGGGUGUUUUGUGCCCUACCAGACCUGCACACAGACCCAGAUGAGCCUGCUCUUUGGAAAAUAAUAACCACUCUCACAGGAACAGGUUGAAGGUUAGGACCGAAAUCCAAUAAUAAACUUGGUCAAGUCCUUGUUCCUGUAUGCAUGGUUUUGCAUUGACAUUCCUCAUACAUCAAUAGAUCCGCUUUCUGAUAGAACUGAGUUAGUGGUGUUGACACUGAAGAGUUUUGUACAGCAAAUGUCAAAAUCGGCUGGUUUCAUUGACUGACCUUCGGCCCCCACAGUUCAAGUUGACACCAACACCAAUGAUCUUUCUUUAACAAAAGAUCAUAUCCUGCUGAGUCAGUCAGCAGAGUCAAAUGGCAAAACUGUUGGAGACUUUCUAUGAAGUGUUAUUUUCAACUAAUUUUAUGCAAGUAAACGCAAGCUUCCAUUUACAGACGGGACUGAUUCCUGACAUCUUGCAGAUUUCAUUGCUCUGGCUAAUGGAAUUUGUGACACCAGUAUAUGUACUUUGAACACGUACACUAGUGGUGAUGAUGAAGGUUUAAUCUGCUGCUAUUUUCAAUCAAAGCUAUAGUGCGUAGUUUCUGUCGCCCUCAUGAGGAAUUCUAAGUAAUGACAACAACACUGUGGUGCUUCCACAUGACUCAAGCCUUCGUGAUCGCGCACCACCCCCACCCCCCUCAUCCACACGGUUGCUAGUAGCGUUUAACCCGUCAAAUCAUGGAGAACACGGAGGAUUAAAUAAACAUGAUGGACUCUUCA